rnacentral:rRNA from 1 species
CGGCGGACGGGUGAGUAACGCGUGGGAACGUGCCUUCUGGUCUGGAAUAACCCUGGGAAACUAGGGCUAAUACCGGAUACGCCCUUUUGGGGAAAGGUUUACUGCCGGAAGAUCGGCCCGCGUCUGAUUAGCUAGUUGGUGGGGUAACGGCCUACCAAGGCGACGAUCAGUAGCUGGUCUGAGAGGAUGAUCAGCCACACUGGGACUGAGACACGGCCCAGACUCCUACGGGAGGCAGCAGUGGGGAAUAUUGGACAAUGGGCGCAAGCCUGAUCCAGCCAUGCCGCGUGAGUGAUGAAGGCCUUAGGGUUGUAAAGCUCUUUUAUCCGGGACGAUAAUGACGGUACCGGAGGAAUAAGCCCCGGCUAACUUCGUGCCAGCAGCCGCGGUAAUACGAAGGGGGCUAGCGUUGCUCGGAAUCACUGGGCGUAAAGGGCGCGUAGGCGGCGUUUUAAGUCGGGGGUGAAAGCCUGUGGCUCAACCACAGAAUGGCCUUCGAUACUGGGACGCUUGAGUAUGGUAGAGGUUGGUGGAACUGCGAGUGUAGAGGUGAAAUUCGUAGAU